CUUAACACAUGCAAGUCGAGGGGCAGCAUGAUAAGUAGCAAUACUUAUUGAUGGCGACCGGCGCAAGGGUGCGUAACGCGUGAGUAACAUGCCCGUAUCAGGAGGAUAACCCGGAGAAAUCCGGACUAAUACUGCAUAAUAUCGAUUUAAGGCAUCUUAGAAUGAUUAAAGUUUCGACGGAUACGGAUUGGCUCGCGUGACAUUAGCUAGAUGGUAAGGUAACGGCUUACCAUGGCGACGAUGUCUAGGGGUUCUGAGAGGAAGGUCCCCCACACUGGAACUGAGACACGGUCCAGACUCCUACGGGAGGCAGCAGUGAGGAAUAUUGGACAAUGGAUGGAAAUCUGAUCCAGCCAUGCCGCGUGAAGGAAUACGGUCCUAUGGAUUUUAAACUUCUUUUGUAUGGGAGCAAUAAGGUGUACGCGUACAUCGAUGAGAGUACCAUACGAAUAAGCAUCGGCUAACUCCGUG
rnacentral:rRNA from 1 species